CAACCCGGAGAACUGAAACAUCUAAGUACCCGGAGGAAUAGAAAACAAUAGUGAUUCCCCUAGUAGCGGCGAGCGAACGGGGACCAGCCCAAACCAACAUUGUUUCGGCAUUGUUGGGGUUGUAGGACGGACAUAAUCCGAUUCAAAGUCUGCAGAACCAUCUGGAAAGUUGGGCCACAGCGGGUGAUAGCCCCGUAUGCAGGUAGAGAUGAGGUGGACCGGAUCCUGAGUAGCGCGGAACAUGUGAAAUUCUGUGUGAAUCUGCCAGAACCAUCUGGUAAGGCUAAAUAUGUUGAGAGACCGAUAGUGAACAAGUACCGUGAGGGAAAGGUGAAAAGUACCCUGAAAAAGGGAGUGAAAUAGUACCUGAAACCUACUGUCUACAAGCGGUCGAAGCCUUCGGGCGACGGCGUGCCUUUUGCAUAAUGAUCCUACGAGUUACUCCUCUCUAGCAAGGUUAAGGGCUUCAGGUCCGUAGCCGAAGCGAAAGCAAGUCUUAAAUAGGCGCAUAGUUAGGGGGGGUAGACGCGAAACCUGGUGAUCUACCCAUGGUCAGGUUGAAGCCUCGGUAAUACGAGGUGGAGGACCGAACCCGGAGACGUUGAA
rnacentral:rRNA from 1 species